GAUGUAAUGAAUGUUAAAAUAGCUGCCCUUGGGCUGGGUAAAUAGGGCCUAGUGGCAAGAGUGCUUGCCUCGUAUACAUGAAGCCCUAGGUUCGAUUCCUCAGCACCACAUAUAUAGAAAAGGCCAGAAGUGGCACUGUGGCUCAAGUUGGCAGAGUGUUAGCCUUGAGCAAA